CCUGGGGACUGGCCGCCGUUCAUUCCUUCGAUCGUGUUUACUGAGCGCUUCCUAGGUGCAGAGCACUGUGCUAAGCGCUUGGAAUGGCCAAAUCAUUCAUUCAAUACAGAUAGAGACAGUCCCUGCCCGUUGACAGUCUCAUCGCCAUCCCCUCCUGGAGGCUGCAGGAGCGCCAGGAUCAAGAUGGGGUCCCAGCUCUCGGUGGACAACUCUGUGCAGGUGGUGAUCGUUGGAGGUGGUUUUGGUGGGAUCGCGGCGGCCAGCCAGCUGAAGUCCUGGGGUAUCCCCUUCACUCUGGUGGACAUGCGAGACGCCUUCCACCACAACGUUGCGGCCCUGCGUGCCUCCGUAGAGAAAGGCUUUGCCAAGAAAACUUUCAUUUCUUACACUGUGACCUUCAAGGACAAUUUCCGUCAAGGCCUGGUGGUGGGGAUCGACCUGCAGAAGCAGAGAGUCCUGCUCCAAGAUGGUGAGGCCCUCUCCUUCUCUCAUCUCAUCCUGGCCACUGGCAGCGAUGGCCCCUUCCCAGGGAAGUUCAACCAGCUGUCCAACAUGGAAACGGCCAUCCAGAGUUACGAAGUGAUGGUGAAGCAGGUCCAAAAGUCUCAGCACAUUGUGGUGGUGGGAGGAGGCUCAGCUGGAGUCGAGAUGGCGGCAGAGAUUAAAACAGAUUAUCCUGAGAAAGAGGUCAUCCUCAUUCAUUCUCAAGUCGCACUGGCCGACGUGGAGCUCCUCCCUUGUGUCCGGCAGGAGGUGAAAGAGAUCCUGCUCCGCAAGGGCGUGAAGCUUGUGCUGAGCGAACGAGUCAGUAACCUGGACCAGCUGCCUCUGAAUGAAUCCCAGGAGCACAUCCUAGUGAAGACUGACAAAGGGACGGAGGUGGACACAAACCUGGUGAUCCUCUGCACGGGGAUAAAGAUCAACUCCUCUGCCUACAGCAGUGCGUUUGCUGACAAACUGGCGACUAAUGGGGCCUUGAGGGUCAAUGAGCAUCUCCAGGUGGAAGGGUUUGAUCAGAUCUAUGCCAUCGGUGACUGUGCUGAUGUAAAGGAACCCAAGAUGGCCUAUCACGCUGGCCUCCAUGCCAAUGUUGUGGUGGCCAACAUUGUCAACAGUAUGAAACAAAAGCCGCUCCAAAGCUACCGGCCAGGAGCACUGACCUUCCUCCUGUCCAUGGGUAGAAAUGAUGGCGUGGGCCAGAUCAGUGGGUUCUAUGUCGGGCGACUUAUGGUUAGGUUGGCCAAAAGCCGUGACCUGUUCAUUUCUACAAGCUGGAAAACUAUGGGGCAGACUCCGCCCUAAUGAAGAGGGGCAGAAGAAAAAAUGACAAAAGAAAUCGAGCACUGGAUUGUCAAGAGAGAAACACUUUCAGAAGUUACAGAGAUUAUUACGGGGUAAACAUAUUUGAGAAAAGCACCAAGUGAAAUGUCUUUGAGUCUUCCUCCGACACAGACUAGACAACGAACAAGCCAACCAAAAUCACGCUACGCCCUCCCCUCUCGGAAAAGAAAGAGGAACAAAGGAUUUAAGAAUUUUGAAAUUUUUUUUUGUGCAAAAGGUCAAUGCUACAAAUCUAAAAUGAGGUUUGUCCUUUCAAAAGUUCUAAAAUAGCAAGAAGGAAACACGUUUAAAACAAAUUCUUGCAGGGAGCUGGCUAAUUACUUCUUAAGGUGGUAUAAAAGGGAGAGGGCGCCUUUCACAAAGGUGGACAUUUUUCACAGCCUCAGCCCUACCUCUCUUCGCUCCACUAAAUCGGACCGCUUUAGUGCUCGCGCCUUCCAAAAAUAAAACCUACUCUCGCUCUAUUGUCAAUCCUUUUCAAACUCUGGUUGAAAAAUAAAGCUGAUUUGGCUGCUUGGUCUA